UCUCCGUUGGUGAACCAGCGGAGGGAUCAUUACAGAGUUGCAAAACUCCCAAACCAUUGUGAACGUUACCUAUCCCGUUGCUUCGGCGGGCGGCCCGGGCCCCGCGCCCGGCGCCCCCCGGCCCCCCGUGGGCGCCCGCCGGAGGUAAACCAAACCCUUGAAUUGCAUGGCCUCACUGAGUCUUCUGUACUGAAUAAGUCAAAACUUUCAACAACGGAUCUCUUGGUUCUG
rnacentral:misc_RNA from 1 species